UUUGAUUCUGCUUUAUUAUCUGUGAAUCUGUGGAUCACUAAGCUAUGGAACUUGUAAAGUAAUAGGGUGAAGGUGUGAGGGGUGGGGUCACACUGAGUAAAUACUAUCUUUAUAACCA